GCUCAGGAUGAACGCUAGCUACAGGCUUAACACAUGCAAGUCGAGGGGCAGCAUUUUAGUUUGCUUGCAAACUGAAGAUGGCGACCGGCGCACGGGUGAGUAACACGUAUCCAACCUGCCGAUAACUCCGGAAUAGCCUUUCGAAAGAAAGAUUAAUACCGGAUAGCAUACGAAUAUCGCAUGAUAUUUUUAUUAAAGAAUUUCGGUUAUCGAUGGGGAUGCGUUCCAUUAGUUUGUUGGCGGGGUAACGGCCCACCAAGACAACGAUGGAUAGGGGUUCUGAGAGGAAGGUCCCCCACAUUGGAACUGAGACACGGUCCAAACUCCUACGGGAGGCAGCAGUGAGGAAUAUUGGUCAAUGGGCGAGAGCCUGAACCAGCCAAGUAGCGUGAAGGAUGAAGGCUCUAUGGGUCGUAAACUUCUUUUAUAUGGGAAUAAAGUUUUCCACGUGUGGAAUUUUGUAUGUACCAUAUGAAUAAGGAUCGGCUAACUCCGUGCCAGCAGCCGCGGUAAUACGGAGGAUCCGAGCGUUAUCCGGAUUUAUUGGGUUUAAAGGGAGCGUAGGUGGAUUGUUAAGUCAGUUGUGAAAGUUUGCGGCUCAACCGUAAAAUUGCAGUUGAAACUGGCAGUCUUGAGUACAGUAGAGGUGGGCGGAAUUCGUGGUGUAGCGGUGAAAUGCUUAGAUAUCACGAAGAACUCCGAUUGCGAAGGCAGCUCACUAGACUGUCACUGACACUGAUGCUCGAAAGUGUGGGUAUCAAACAGGAUUAGAUACCCUGGUAGUCCACACAGUAAACGAUGAAUACUCGCUGUUUGCGAUAUACAGUAAGCGGCCAAGCGAAAGCAUUAAGUAUUCCACCUGGGGAGUACGCCGGCAACGGUGAAACUCAAAGGAAUUGACGGGGGCCCGCACAAGCGGAGGAACAUGUGGUUUAAUUCGAUGAUACGCGAGGAACCUUACCCGGGCUUAAAUUGCAACAGAAUAUAUUGGAAACAGUAUAGCCGUAAGGCUGUUGUGAAGGUGCUGCAUGGUUGUCGUCAGCUCGUGCCGUGAGGUGUCGGCUUAAGUGCCAUAACGAGCGCAACCCUUAUCUUUAGUUACUAACAGGUGAUGCUGAGGACUCUAGAGAGACUGCCGUCGUAAGAUGUGAGGAAGGUGGGGAUGACGUCAAAUCAGCACGGCCCUUACGUCCGGGGCUACACACGUGUUACAAUGGGGGGCACAGAAGGCGGCUACCUGGUGACAGGAUGCUAAUCCCAAAAACCUCUCUCAGUUCGGAUCGAAGUCUGCAACCCGACUUCGUGAAGCUGGAUUCGCUAGUAAUCGCGCAUCAGCCAUGGCGCGGUGAAUACGUUCCCGGGCCUUGUACACACCGCCCGUCAAGCCAUGAAAGCCGGGGGUACCUGAAGUACGUAACCGCAAGGAGCGUCCUAGGGUAAAACUGGU
rnacentral:rRNA from 1 species